UUUCAGUCAACCUCUCGUGGUGCCCCGGAAUUAAAGACCGGGGAUAAUCGGGAAGCCGGUGAGAAUCCGGCACUGCCCCCGCAACGGUAAAUGGUGAGAGACAGGCGCGCCCAAGCGGCGUCAUAAAAGCCGGUUCUUGCGCGGUCAACCGCAUAGCCAAAGUCCGGAGACCGGCCCUGGAGGUAUUUCGAUG
rnacentral:ncRNA from 1 species